rnacentral:lncRNA from 1 species
CAUUCUAAAAGAAUAAGGAAGUUUUACAAAAACCCAAAAAUAACACCAAGAUAUUUUGAAAAUUUCUAACACAUCUAUGUCCAAUUAAAGGACGUGACUGAAUCUCGUGGAGAUCAGCAUGCUAGGCUUCACGCAGCUGCUACCACCUGCCCCUCCGCCGCCACCAUUUCCAGAAGGCUACACCCCACCUCCAACUGCAGGAGAGAAUGGCUCUGAUUCCCCGCCAGCAAUAGAGUCCCAAGUUCCUUCUGUUGAUCCAAUUAUAGACCAAGGCCUCCCUAAGAGAAUGAAAAUUUAAAGAUACCGACGUUUUUUGGCUUCUCUAAACGGCUUUUUUACGUACAAAGCUGACUCUUCUUCCCCCAACAGAAGGCAGAAUUCGUCAUUAAAAUUAUUAAUUUUAAAUCUCCGGCUUUGUAAUUUCAAAUUUUGUGUUUGUAGUCCCGAUUGUAAUUCAAUAUUGUUCAGUUGUCAUUUGAGCUGUAACUUGCAGGCUUGCAGUGGUUUUUUCUGUGAGGUUAUAUAGAUGGGUAAACUACACUUUGCACCCCUG